UCCAUGCUAUCUCCUAAAGCAGUCAUUCUGAAACCCAAUCUGGGGACAGUGCAGACUAAAUAAAAUUUCAUUUUGAUUUGGCCUCCCGCUGAGAAUGGGACUGCUUUGUUUCAGCCGACAGAACCAGCAAGCCAGAAAGGUGUUGAAUACACAAAUACUGACUUAACAGAAAAUUAUAUAAAAAGAAGCAAAAUUAUUGGGAUGCCUAGGAUUUCAGAAUAUUACUUCAUAAUAAGCAUAAAAAACAUCUUAAAGUACACAUUAUGGGUCCAGAAGAACACAUCUUUCAGUCUUCAAGAAGUAUUUAAACUACUCUGGCAGAUGAAGAGAUGAGAAGAGCAUACUAGAGAAGCAAUCACUUGUGGUGGACUAGUUUCGAAGAACAGAUUAUCCAGUCACUUUGACAUCUGCUCUAGAUUUGGAUUUGGCUUGCUUGAUGCUGGACGAUUAAUGAAGGAAGCCCUAACUGGACAAAUGUUGGUCUCCUGAGACAAUGUGUUGUUGAUAACAGAAAAGGAUUGACAAUAAGAUGUGGAUGUUCAUCUUUAAUGAACUCACCAAGUGGAAGCCAGCUAAGUUUGAUGAUGCAAUUGACCACCUUCUCAGCAACAGCUGAAUAUUUGCUCCUCAAAAUGAGCAAGCCUGUUAACUGCAAAUGUGAAGAGAUGAAGCAAGCAAAAAAAGAAAAAGUGUGAAGAGCUUUGCUGCCAUAUCAUCCCUGUAUCAGAUAGUUUUAGGAUCAAUGAAUGAACAGGUAUGUAAAAGAGACUGUUAUUCUACAGAGAAGGGGUAUUUCAGAGAAAUGAAGGGGAGAAAUUAAAAGGCAGAUCAGUACAUUGUCACUAUAUGAUGACAAUAUUAGAGAAAGAAUUUCAUUUGUCUUCUUUUAAUUUUGGAUCUUUACAGUGGAAGAGUACUACAGAGAGGUCUAGAUAAUAUCUGUUAUCUUAUCAAGUGUUGCCACGGUACCAGUAUUUUUGUUUUCUUUUUAGAGUUACUCAUGUAAGAUAAACCACUCUGCUGUAUAAGUUAAAAGUUCGCAUUCUGUCCUUCAUUUUUGCACUUUACAUUAUAAGACACUUUGUUUACCAUAGCGGUAAGAGAUAUCAUCACCUUUGGUUAACCAUGAAAGUGUUGAUUUUCAAAUUACUAGAAGUUUUAAUUAUUCUAAUUAUAACUUAAUACUGCUGCAAUGACAUUUCACACGCAGAAGUUAUAUCAGUGAAAAUCACUUAGGAUAACAAGCAGAAAUUAUUUUUUUUUCUGUGAAUAUUCAUAGCACACUGGAAAUUGGGAGGUCAGGAUUUCUCACAGAUAAGACCAUCCAUUGCUGUGUUUCCCUCCGUGGAGUUACAUGCUGCAUUCCCUUCUUCCCUUAUACACUAAAGCAAGAGAAAUAGUUCCCUCACUAGCAGGGAUUCAAUGGUCUUCUCUGUCAGGCACUAGUUUUGGUGGUUUUGGUGCUGUACAAUGCAGAAGAUAUGGGAGAUGUCUGGAUUGUCAGCAUCAAGUGGUUACUUUAAAUGCCAGAGGUGGAGAAGUUCUGGAAAGAGCUGAAAAAAUACAAGUAGAUUAAUUUGCACUUCACAGAAGUUUCUGUUAGAAUAGAGACAGAAAGAGACCGAAUGAGGCAGGAGGAGAAGCAAAUAUAGAGGCGAAGUAAUGGCAAAAAUAUUUAAUUUAAACAUUAAAUAUUUCCUUUAACUGCACUCAGAGAUGGGGAUUGUAUUUGACCAAACAACCAAAUUCUCCACUACAAGUCAGAACUAAAGCUAACUCCACUUUUUUAUUUCAAUAUAUUUUCAAUAGAAAGGACCCAGUCAGUUAUUCUCUGUGUGCUAAAUAGUGUACUAGCAACACUAACAGACCAAGCAGAUGGUUUUGUGGCAUUGUAUGAGUGGUAUAAUAUUGUACUGUAAAUAUAAAUAGGAUACUCACUCACCUUGUUCAAGUUCCCAAUGUGCUUUGUAAUAAACCAAGUAAUUUUGACAGAAAAAUGUUGACCAACCCUAGCCUAACAGCAUUCACAUAAUGAGCUGAAUACUGACACAAAUCUUGUCCAUUAACAAAAAAUCAGUGGUAUUACAUUACUUUUACAAUUUGAAGGAUAAACACAGAAAUGUGAGAGAUGGAGUAAUGAAAGCCAUGUAGUUCCUGCUCUUCAAAGGUCUCACCAGAACCUGCAAAGCUAAUAUACCUACUCUUUUUUAUUUUAAUAAGCUUUGUAUAAGUCAAAAAGCAUUGAAAAUUAAUAACAGGAAAAAUAAUAACUCUGUUUAUAUUUGUUGGGUUAUAUCCAUAAUAAGCUUAUAAAAAAAGAAAACAGAAAAAUUAAAACAGGUCCAAAUAUUAAAUUAAUUCUAGAUUUCAAGAUUACCUCAUUUUCUGCUCCAACGUAAAUGUGUGACAACUUUUCCAAAGCCUUUAUUGAAAAUAUUUCUCUUCCCAUCGUGGAACGGUGCAUCUUUCUUUCUUCUUGCAGCUGUUCCUUCUAGAGACAUUAAUCUUUGGGCAAGCAGUUACCAAUAUCAGAGGGUAGUCUGAAAUGUACCACCACCUGGGACACCAAAGGAUUACAGAUUGCUCUCAUGGGAACUGCUGGGUGAGGAGUGGUGGUGGGUCAGGAUAGCACCCAGCUAAAGCAGAGUGCCCCAGGGAGCAGAAGCAAGGCAAAAUGUCAUUCCAUCAAACACAGAUUUCUGAGCUAACCCGUAUUUUCAGGUAGAGCAGGUAGAUUUUAUUCUUACAGUGGACUUUUAUCUGACAAUAAAAUAAAGCAAGCAAAAGGACUAUAAGAUUAGAUCCUCAUUCUGCAUCUCAUGAAAGGAGAACUGAGGAAAAGACAGAUGGAGUGAUUUUCUGGAGCAAGUUGAGCCCUAGGUUGAAUUGGAUCGCCUGUCUUGUUCAGAGGCUGCCCUUUCCUGACUGUGAUGUGGAAGAAACACAGCCAUUAGCAGGCACCUGCAAAAAUGCUCCACCUGUUUUUGCUCAAAGUGACAAAGCCCAGAGGACGAUGUCUGUGUUCCCUGCAGGUCUGUAGGGAGCAUGAUGUAGCUGAUGCAAUUCCCAGCUCCAGCACACCUGCAAGGUCUCAUUGAUCUGCUGUUCAGUGCUCUGAAAACUCAGAAAUCUAUUAUCAGUGUGAGCAUGUGCUUAUUGAUCAGGUUACCUGCUUCUGCUCCCUGUGUGCACCUAAUUGUACUGGCAUGCACACACACACAAGCGCACAUGCAUAAAUAUUCACACACAUGUGUGCAUAGAUACAGGUACACACACAUGGGUUGGGGGAAUGUGUGUAUGAUAAAGGCUCUACCCUUUUUUUUAGCUUUACAAAACUGCACAUAAAUAAAAAGAAUGGACCUUCCCUGUGAAACGUGAGCACAGAAACGCUCACAAGUGGCCAAGAGCUGCUAAAUAAUUAAUCAAUAGAGCAGUGUGGCAGUUUGAAAUGUAAAUGUGAUGGAUGAAGGUGUGAUGCUUGUCAUCAAGCAGAAAAUGAUGUGACUGGAAUGGAUAACCCACCGUACCUGCUAACUGGCAAGAGCUUGGACACAAAGAUAAAGUAAAGCCAUCAGAAAGCAGACCUGGCAACCCCUAAUUCUUGCCUUUGACCCACAAUUCACUUUCAUGUCUCUGUCCCAGAAGACAUGUUUUAAAAAAUGAUGAAGAGAGAUCUUGGGGUGGGAAAGGGGUGAGAAAAAAACCAUCUGAAGAAAUGCUACCUGACAAGGCUGCAGGCUACGUUCUUGAGAACACCUUUCUUUUCUUUAUGUUCUCCUUCUCCCGUUAAAUAAAAAUGCGGCUCCUUUUUUCCCUUUCCUUUCUUCCGAAACUCUCCCGAGCCGUUCCUGCAAGUGGUUCUGUGACUCGGGAGCUGACAACAGCCGCAUGCAAAGGAACAAAGAAUGAGAGUGACAAUUCAGAGUGCACGCAGGGGGAAUGAGAGAACUUGGGGCUGUUCCAGACCAGCCAUGGCUUCCAAGGGCCUCCUUUCCAUGUGUCCUACUGCUGGCAGGAUUGUGAGCAUGAAGAACUUUUCAGAUAGUCUUCCUUUGGUCGCAAGAUGACAGUGAGAAUGGAUUGUCAAACUGGACCACUAUGACAAUUUACUCUGAGGGAGAAAAUCCUGUGGGUGUUUAGAAGCUUUACUUUUACUAUCACCUGAAAAUAAACACCCUACACCAUUUUUUGCAUCAUUUUAGACAACAACUGCCUGGUUGGCAACUGCACCAAAGCAGGAGGAAGAUAGUGAAGGAGACUGACACAGCAUGAGAGCCUGCAGACAGCAGCUGGUGGCUCUCCAGCAGGAAGCACUGAAAUGUGGAUGGUAGUGCUGACCCCAUCACAAGGUCCCAUACCUGGGGGGCUUGAGACUGAGGUGGUGCCCACCAGAGUGGAACAGAGGACAUGAUCAGAGAACCUCUGAAGAUCUUUUCUUCAUAAGGGCAAGACAAGACUGAAAGACAAGGAAGUGCAACCCAGUGUUCUCUCACAAUGUGGCACCGUGGUUGUCAUGAAAGCACCUUCCAUUCUGACUGUCAAUACGGAAGUGAAGACAAGCUUUCAAAAAGAGAGAAGACAACCAUGAAUCACCCCAUGAACUGAAUGGAUAUAAUCAACCAAUUUUUUGCAUUUAAAGUUCAUUUCUGGUUCAUCUCUGUUUUCAACACCAACUGAAAAUUGUUUACUAAUCACUCAUUUUGGAUCAACCAUCAUACCUAUGGCUCAGAUUUCCUCCAUUCAGUAGUAUUUCAUCAGGAAGUCGGUCCUACCAAGAGAAGCGAGCAAUACCCUGUGUACUGGGAAGUGAAGAAGUAAUCAUCCCUGCAAACGUGCUCAAUUGUGUGGAAUGCUUCAACAUAGUCUUUACUCGAUUCACACUUUACAGUAGGCUUUCCCUCCUGGUUCACCUACACAACAGCCUUUGACAUCAGUGAAGAUGGUGAGAGCAGCUGUUUGUUAUUUAUCUGUGAAUAUUUCCUAUCAUCCCAAGCAAAAAUACAGGCUACUGCAUGGGACUAUGCAGAGAUGUGUGAGAGAGGCAAUGCAAGGAAGUCAUUCUCCAAAAAGCAUUCCGUGUAGAUUUCUUGUAGCUGCCCACAUUAAGCCAUAUGGGGGCAUGGAAGAUUUUUAGAAGCCUGAUUGACACAGGAGGCAGCACUUCCAAGCUCUGUCUGUCUUGUUAAGUCCUGGCAAAAAUCCCAUGAAAAGGAGAGGAAAGUGUUGCACAUUGCUGGGUAAGGUGUAGUGAGGGGCUGGGGUGAUGCAAUGGUGGGUGUGAUCAGACCACUGGCAGAUGAACCUGGAUUUGAGCCUUGAACAAUAGUUUCAGUGUCUUAGAGAGGGAGAGAAUAGAGAAAGAGAUCAGCAUACAAGUUUUAAUGAGAAAAAUUGAUUACUGAUGCAGAAUUUUUGAGAAGGGACCAGCCUGUGUCCUGACAGCACACACAUUCCACACAGUAAACGGACUUCAAAGUAACCCAAAAGCCAAAAUAAAGCUUUGCUGCUUUUUGUACCUUUCCAACAGCAGUAUUUGGUACUCUUCUCUCACCAGCAUGGCCAUGUAACCGCCUUUUCAAGUUCUGGAAUCAUUACUAAAAUAAAAGGCCAAGUCUUGCCUUGCUUCUCAAUUAGGAAGAGUGAUAGAUCUCAAUAAGACUAUUCUUUGUUGUUGUCUUCUAUGCUUUGUAUACCUUUGGGUGUCUCUUCCCAAUGGCCUCUGAAAAAUUUUUGAUCUCCUAGAACCUUACUUUUUAGGGCACUGUGUAACCUGCUUGUUUUGUUAGAAGGCAGAGUGCAAAAAUUGAGAAAUUACCUUAUGUGCUGUAUAGCUUGAUUUCAAUUACUUCAUUUAGUUAUUGCUAACCAUAUUUUAUAAAUAUCAACACAUUCUAUUUGUUCUGGCCAUUGAAAUUAUGCUUUCAAAUUAAUUCAGAUAUGUAUUCUGAUAUAUUUUGUCUAUAUUACAAUUGUACAAAAUUGGUUAUAUCAGUUAGGAGAAGCAUCUAAAAUUGCCUCCCUGCAAUUUAUGCUCUGUAUUUUAAGUUUGGACAGUACUACAAGAUCAUUUUGCUCAUGUGUUAAGUGGGAUCCUAGUAUAUCACUAGAUUAAGUCAAAAUAUUGCAAGUUAAUAAGAAUACCUGUAGAUUAUGAAAGUGAGACCAAAAAAGUAGCAUUUCUUAUUGCAUAAGCUGAAAAACUGGAAAUAAUUUCAGUAAAACAGGUUAGAAGAGGGAUGUUUGGGAGGCAUUGUCAUUUUUGUGGACUACAGUAAAAGAAAAACAUACAUCAAAUCAGAAUUACUUGCCUUGAAUUGAAAUGUUAAUAAGCCAAGACAUUAGCAAAGAGAGAGUAUCACCUUAGUGGUUUGUUCUAAGGCAAUUGCCUGCACUCUCUCUGUAGCUGAGGGAGAAAGAGACUCCACCAGUAACAGAGACUUAUUUUAAUAUGGCUACAUGAGAUACCAUCCUAUAAUGACCAUAUAAAAUGGUUGAACAGAGAUCUGGAGGUACUACCCAUGACAGAAAGGGAAAGAAAAGUUAUCUGAGACUAGAUAGCUAAUUCUAAGACAGACACAACAAUUUAUAAAGAAUCCUGCUCUGUACAUGAAGUCCCAAAUUUUAGAAAAUUAAAGACCCGAUUAAUUUCUAAGUUAUUUUCGUUUAUUACAGACAGAUGUGCCAGGGAUGAGCAUGCCUGUUUGUCUCUUAAUAUAGAUUUCAUAGGCUGGACUUCAUCUGACAGCUCUGCGGUUAUGAAUCUUGAGACAUAUUUCACUUCAAUUUAGGAAGUUUUAGGAAGCUCAGGGUCUUUUUUCACAAAGGCCCAUGAGAAAUAGAGGUUUCAGAUUUUAAUUCUUCCUUGGAAAUAAGAAAGUUAGUAAAAUAAGGAUACCCACAGUAGGCUUUCUACAGGUUCUUCUUUGAGAAAGCUAGGACAGACUCAACAGCAUUAAUGUUUUUCUCCUUGAUGGAUGAAGUCAUGGAACUGAUUUCUGAUAUAGUCUCCACACCUGGGCCUUAGGCAGCUAUAGUGAACAUCAGUCUCAUAUCCAUACCAUAUCAAAGGGAUGCUUGUCUGUGUCUCGAAUCAGACAUAUGUUUCUUUAGUGAAUGCAGUAAAAAUUAAGCUAAUUUCUGAGUUUGACUCUAUAAACAGACCAAGUAAUGGUCAUAAAAGUUCACUGAAAUAAAUUUAAAGUCACAAAGCUCAGUAGUGUUUGUGAGCAUUUUUUUUUUCAUAAAACUGACCUUCUUUUGAAAUAUCGGGACUGAAGGCCAAUCUGCACCAGCCAGGGAUUAAAACAGGACAUGGAGAGUAUUUGCCCCAUUUCUGAUGUUCUAGUUCUGUCCUUCAAAAUAAUCAAAGACUGGAUUUGCCAUACGGCAGUUUCCGUCUUUCUCAAAACAGAAAGGGAGUGGGAAGAAGCAGAUAUAAAAAUAUAUAAAGGAAAGAGCAGAAAAGAGAAAGGAUUGUUCCAGCCCUCCAGCUUCCCUUUAUGAAAGGCAAAAGACCAAAAGGUUUUCACUUGAUGAGGGCCAUGGGCUAGGAUACAAACCCCACUCCUCUUGGGUUGUGGUGCUGAGCACUCAUCCUGCCCCUUUGCUGUGACCUGUCGGGGUGGAUUGCCAAAGCUCUAGGGAAGGGUCCCCUGCAGGACCAGCUCCUCACCUGAACAUCUCCCCCAGGACAGUGCCAGUUUGCAUGGGUGAGAAUUUAACCCACCUGUGACAGACAUAGUGCAGAGAAAUUAUACUGGGCUUAAUAAACCAGUCAAAUAAACCAGUGCUGAGAGUGGCUGUAGCAACACACAGAAAUAUCUUUCAGUGAAAGAGCAAGAGAAUACCAGCUGAGAGACAAACCUCACCUGUUGGAGAAUACUAUUCUUAGCCUGGACUUUGCACAAAAACUUUUCAGAGAUCCCCACAAAUCCAUAUACAGUGGGUCAGAAGAGUGCAACAAGCUAGCAGAGGAGUUAAAUUAAUCUCUUGCAUUGUGUUUGCUGCUGAGAGCAGUGUAGAAAUUCCUGUGCCAAAGGCACUUUGCAAAGAAAAUCAGAGUGUGGCCUUUAUACAGACUGAAGUCUCUAAGGAGGAAGUUGUAGAGUAACUUGAGAAACUCAAGUGCAGUAAAUCACCACAACCGGAUGGUGUUCAUCUGGGAGUUCUGAGGGGAAAUAAAGUGAGAAAAAGCCAAGAUACUGACAAGAGGAUGCCUUCUUCCCUUGAAAAAUGCAGCAGCACAAGAAGGCUGGGAAGCCCUAUUAUGUUGCCUGUCUUCAAAAGGAGAUGAGGAAAAUCCUGGGAAUAAAAGAGCUUUGAAGUUUGCCACAGUUUUAGGGAGCCCAAAAAUACUAGUUCUGAACAACAGCUCAAGAGAGAGCUUGUUGGACAAGAACACCCCAAGAAGGUGUUCUUCGUCUCCCAAAACACUAAGGCAGUUACAAGGGGGGAAGUGCAUUCAGUUACUUUGAAAAUCCAGUGGAGCAGCCUUCAGAGGAAAAGUGGGAUUGACAGAGUCUUCUCAGAGAAAGGUGACAAAAUGAUCCAAAGAUUCUAAAGUUUUUAUGGAGGUCAAUUAUAAGCAAUUGUCACAGAGAAUAUUAAGAAAUAAAACUGAGAAUAAUACUUGAUGAUGAUUUUGUCCUGGAAUGAACUACAAAUCAGUUUGGAAGAAGUGAAUAUGAGAAGCAUUUCUCUUUCUAUUGAGGAAGGGAAAGGUGAACACCCAGUAGUAGGAAUCAGGACUAGUGUCAUAACAAAUAAAUGAGUCUGAGUCCCAAGCCCCAAUGCAUUCAAAUUAGUGUAUCCAGAAUCCACCCAAGAUCCGGAUUCACAUGUCACACAUAUGGUUCCCAUCUUCAAGAGGACAAAUCAAUUCCUGGGCUGAAACUCCUGAGGUUUGUGCUCUGAGGUUUGAAUACUUCGUAUUCAAAGACUUCAGCCUACACAACAGUUACGUAUGAAAUAAGGGGGGGUGGGAGGAGUGCAUGUGUACACAUAGCAUGCAAAGGAAGCAAUUAAAUGUAAACCCAAAACAAUUUUAAAAGUGAUCCAUGGCAAAAAGUGCUCUGAUGCAGAGACUGUAAGUAUUUGUUCUGUGCAUUAACUUGUCACAGCUAGCUGAAAGGGCACAAGAUUGCAAGUAAAGGACAGUGGGAAUUUUGCUGGGUUUGGUGAGCCCAUUUACAAUCAAACAUUUUAAAUUAUCUGGAUUUACACGGCUUGGUACCCUUCCAUUUUCUCUCCUAGUUUUUUUUUUUAGUUCCUGUAGACUAGGCCCAGGGUACUGAAGGCAAAGCUUCUCCAGUUUUAAUUUGCUUUGUCUCAUGAAUUCAUUAGAUUUUGAAAGCUUUCAAAGGAAGUCACAGGUAAGAAUUAGAGAAAAUAGAGAAAGUGGGACACUUCUGACUGGCUUGUAUGUUUCCAGUAUCUAAAGAGAAAGAUUUUUUUAAAAGCAAACUGUAGGAGGGUUUGUAAAAAUAGAUAUUUACAUUUACGUAUUGGGACAGAUCUCAGCUGCCAUGGAGCAGUAUUGCUCCGUCCUCUUGAGCAGGGCACA